UACGAAGGGAGCUAGCGUUGCUCGGAAUCACUGGGCGUAAAGCGCACGUAGGCGGAUUGUUAAGUCAGGGGUGAAAUCCUGGAGCUCAACUCCAGAACUGCCUUUGAUACUGGCGAUCUUGAGUCCGGGAGAGGUGAGUGGAACUGGCGAGUGUAGAGGUGAAAUUCGUAGAUAUUCGCAAGAACACCAGUGGCGAAGGCGGCUCACUGGCCCGGUACUGACGCUGAGGUGCGAAAGCGUGGGAGCAACAGG
rnacentral:rRNA from 1 species